UCUUGUAAGCUCUUCUUGAAGGAGUUUUGAAAGCUAAACUCUUACCAUAUAUUGGAGAUAUCGGUGGCAUUCAACUUCAAGGAGAAGGAUUUUGGUUGAUGGAGGUCAUAGACUUGAGAAGGGUUUCAAGGAUUUCAGAGGAAAGCUGGAAAUCAUGUUUUUGUUGUGAGAAUUCUGGUUUGUAGAGGAAUGGGUUUUGAGACCCAAAAAUCUCUUUUUGGGUUGUUAUCUAGGGUUCUGGUAUGUUCUUGAUGAUCUUAUGUUGUUUUAGGAGUGUUGUGGUGGUUUUUGAAAGUUGGUUCAGGCUUGAAAUGAGUUUUGGAUGAAUUUUGAAGUUUUAAUCGGUUUAUGGUGUUUGGAGUUGAAGAAGUCGCAGAAAAACAUAAGCAAAGAUUAUGGGUUUGUGACUUAGCGCCCCUACGCUUGGUUUGGGCUCCCCUACCCUAUGCAGGGAAGAGUUUGGGGGAGCCUCUCACUUGUUGGGCGCCCUUUCCCUAUGGCCAUUUCAACAUGAGUUAUUUUUACGGCUUGGGAAGAACUUGGGGGCUCUAGGGGACAAUUCCACCACCUGUUUGGUGGAAUUGGAGGUCCUGAGAGCAUGAGAUUGGUCCAGAAUUCAGUGAUUGAAGUUAGUUCUUGAUGAGAGUAUUGUUCAUGUUAUGGCUAGGUUUACCGAGAGGCUCAAAAAAAGAUCGUGCUUGGGGUCGUACUAUUUAUUCGCACAAAACCUGAGGUAAGAAAAUCGGCACCUGUGUUUAGAUUGGGGCCUUGGGCUAGUUACCGAAUGUGGUUCUAACCACGCCUUUCAUAAUGGUUGAAUAUGAAUGCAUUUGGAUUUAUGUAUAACUGUGAUAUAUGUGAGAUGUUUAUCAGUUGUAUUUGUCUAGAGAGCCUGGCUAAUAAGUCGUGGUCGGCAAUAGCAUGUACAAUGUUGGUCGUUGCGGAUGGACCAAUCUGGGAGUGCGGUAUGUGCUUGUGCGACCCUGUGGCCUUUGCGAUUGUAAUGUGUACUUGCUCGGGUUUAGCUAUAAUAACUGCUAAGCAUGCUAAUUAUGUUCUAUAUUAUGUUGAUUAUUUGGGUUUUUUUUGCUGAGCUUUGGCUCACGGGUGCUAUGUGGUGCAAGUAAAGGCAACGGGAAGCUAGACCAACCAUGAGUUGGAGGGCUAUAGGAGCGGAGUGUACAUACUCAGCCUGCUCGGCCGCCACAGUCGAAGUAUUUUUGAGGAACAUGAGUAUUCUGUCUGGUUUUGCCGCUUAGGUCGGCCAACUUUUAAUUUUGUAAAGAAACUUUAUUUUGGUUUCUAACACUUGGGAUCCCUUGUAAACAAUAAAACCAUUUUAAUAAUAAGUUGGCUUCUUUGACCAAAA